ACCCAGGUCAGGGACGUUUCUGCUUUUGCCUCUCCUUCCCUCCCUGGCCUCCUUGGGAAGGCGUGGCCAGACCUGGGUUCCGAGAGGCUGUGUGGGCCUUUUCGAGGCUGGACUAGAGCAGAGAGGACGCUCAAGUCCACAGAGCAAGUGGGGGUCCCUGCCUCCUUGGGGCAGCUCCCCGAGCUGAGCCUCCUUCCUUCCUGACAAUGCGGAAACUGAGGCUCAGAGAGGACGUUCCUGCCCGGGUCCUAUGAGACUCAAAGCUGCCCCCCAGCCGGAACAGUUGUGUCACCCAACAGCUUUCUGGUGUGUCUCCUGCCACCUAAUGUCACGGCGAUUGUGUUCGUGUGUGUGUCCUCAGCCAGCCUGGGACGCCUAGUAGGGCAGCGGCUGCGUCCGUCCUACUCGUCGUCUGUCUGCUGCCGCAGAAGGCCCGGCACACCCCCGGUCCCGGAGAGACGGAUGAGGAAACCGAGGCUCAGAGAUUUGCGAAGGCCUCACAGACAGGAAGGGGCAGAAAGCAGAUCUGAUCGACUCCCAAGCAGGAGACACGUCACUGGACGGCACGCCCACUUCCCCACCAGGGCAGGCCAGCCCUCUGCCCCAGCCGCAGAGAGGAGAGGGGCCGGGCUGAUAAAGGGCCAUCUGGAGGCCAGGUGGGAGCCAUCUCAUCCUGCCAGGUAACGGCCACACAAGCCUCCUGGGCCCCCACAAGCCUCUGGGGCCCUCUGGGUCCUCACCCCACCAGCGGGGCAUCCGCAGAAUUGGUUUCCCAGGCCGGAGGGUCCCCCAUCGGCUCAGCAGCUGUCAGCAAUAAGAACGAGAUGAGGAAAGAAAUCCAUAAACUGCGGUUUUGAAAAACCUG